rnacentral:rRNA from 1 species
UGGCGGCAGGCCUAACACAUGCAAGUCGAGCGGAUGACGGGAGCUUGCUCCUUGAUUCAGCGGCGGACGGGUGAGUAAUGCCUAGGAAUCUGCCUGGUAGUGGGGGACAACGUUUCGAAAGGAACGCUAAUACCGCAUACGUCCUACGGGAGAAAGCAGGGGACCUUCGGGCCUUGCGCUAUCAGAUGAGCCUAGGUCGGAUUAGCUAGUUGGUGGGGUAAUGGCUCACCAAGGCGACGAUCCGUAACUGGUCUGAGAGGAUGAUCAGUCACACUGGAACUGAGACACGGUCCAGACUCCUACGGGAGGCAGCAGUGGGGAAUAUUGGACAAUGGGCGAAAGCCUGAUCCAGCCAUGCCGCGUGUGUGAAGAAGGUCUUCGGAUUGUAAAGCACUUUAAGUUGGGAGGAAGGGCAGUAAGUUAAUACCUUGCUGUUUUGACGUUACCGACAGAAUAAGCACCGGCUAACUCUGUGCCAGCAGCCGCGGUAAUACAGAGGGUGCAAGCGUUAAUCGGAAUUACUGGGCGUAAAGCGCGCGUAGGUGGUUUGUUAAGUUGGAUGUGAAAGCCCCGGGCUCAACCUGGGAACUGCAUCCAAAACUGGCAAGCUAGAGUACGGUAGAGGGUGGUGGAAUUUCCUGUGUAGCGGUGAAAUGCGUAGAUAUAGGAAGGAACACCAGUGGCGAAGGCGACCACCUGGACUGAUACUGACACUGAGGUGCGAAAGCGUGGGGGAGCAAACAGGAUUAGAUACCCUGGUAGUCCACGCCGUAAACGAUGUCAACUAGCCGUUGGAAUCCUUGAGAUUUUAGUGGCGCAGCUAACGCAUUAAGUUGACCGCCUGGGGAGUACGGCCGCAAGGUUAAAACUCAAAUGAAUUGACGGGGGCCCGCACAAGCGGUGGAGCAUGUGGUUUAAUUGGAAGCAACGCGAAGAACCUUACCAGGCCUUGACAUGCAGAGAACUUUCCAGAGAUGGAUUGGUGCCUUCGGGAAUUCUGACACAGGUGCUGCAUGGCUGUCGUCAGCUCGUGUCGUGAGAUGUUGGGUUAAGUCCCGUAACGAGCGCAACCCUUGUCCUUAGUUACCAGCACGUAAUGGUGGGCACUUUAAGGAGACUGCCGGUGACAAACCGGAGGAAGGUGGGGAUGACGUCAAGUCAUCAUGGCCCUUACGGCCUGGGCUACACACGUGUUACAAUGGUCGGUACAGAGGGUUGCCAAGCCGCGAGGUGGAGCUAAUCUCACAAAACCGAUCGUAGUCCGGAUCGCAGUCUGCAACUCGAUUGCGUGAAGUCGGAAUCGCUAGUAAUCGCGAAUCAGAAUGUCGCGGUGAAUACGUUCCCGGGCCUUGUACACACCGCCCGUCACACCAUGGGAGUGGGUUGCACCAGAAGUAGCUAGUCUAACCUUCGGGAGGACGGUUACCACGG